AUCCAGCUGACGAGUCCCAAAUACGACGAAACACGCGUCCUGGAU
rnacentral:hammerhead_ribozyme from 1 species